AUGGUCAGAGGACACACAGGUGAUUGACUCAUCGUGCUGCUGUGUUUGCACGUUGCUAUAAUAGUUUUGUUUUUGUUUUUUUUAUGAUUUGGUUUAGUCGGUCUCUGUGCUGGGACUUUUGGUUGUGUUUGAGAGUAGAUUCCCAGGACCAGCUGGCUGAGGGGGGGGGAGCUUCUCUCCUGGGUGUCACUACAGGUUGGCGAGCAGACCACAGACCAUGACCCAUAAAGGUCAUUCACAGCUUUGUUGAAGUCACCUGUGGUGCUGAUGUUAAGGCCGAGAACCGAUGUAGUUGCAGGCCCCGCCGCCAGGGGGUCUGAGCAUUUCCGACCUGCUGUGCACAAAGCAGCGUCACAGACAGGUGGCGUCAUCCUCUCUUUCAUGAUGCAGCUUCAGAAACAAACCAUCAUCCUGCAGCAGGCAUCAGCUCCGAGGGGAUCAAAAACCACUCAACCCAGAAACUCUCCUUCCUCAGCAGAGUCUGACUGUUCUUCAUUGUGACUGAGUUCACCACGGUGUGUUUUCACUGUGGGGAAAUUCUCCUGUCAAACCCACUGUCUGGUGUCUGGCUCAAGGGCACCUCAGAAGCAGAUGUGGACUCGGUUGCAACGCUGGAUGCGGAGGUGCAAGAUUCCUUUAUCUGCUUCUCACUCUCUUAUUUGUAAUUAUAUCCCCAAGUUAUUUAAGUGUGUAGGAUUUAUUUAUCAUGCAUCAAAGGCAGUAUACAACCAUGUAAAAUACCAAAGUACUUCAUAAAACAUGACAUUUUUUGUAAAAUUUAACUAAAAAUAUUACAAAGGAUGAAUGUUGAUGAAGUAACUACAAAUAAUAAACCAUACAAUUACAAAACACCAAAAAACUGAUUUAAUAGGUAAAAAUAGCAAAUUUCCCUCAAAGGCUGUUCCAGCGAAUCAGAGCGUAGGACACAUUUUUUUUCUCCUGGAAAAGUGCAUUCAUUCUCCUCAAUAACAUUCAAACCUUCGGGUUUCCAUAGCUCAUGGAAACGUACCUGAACGCAACAGCCCACAUAGAAAUCAUUGACUUCUGGUCAUGCUCUGUUUUGC